rnacentral:snRNA from 1 species
GGAUGUGAGGGCGAUCUGGCUGCGACACCUGUCAGCCCAUUCAUCACCAGGGUUGAUUCGGCUGAUCUGGCUGGCUAGGCGGGUGUCCCCUUCCUCCCUCACCACUCCAUGUGCGUCCCUCCCGAAGCUGAGCGCUUGGUGCAAGAGGACAACCAUCCCUGAUAGAGGAGGGCUGUUCUUCAGUCAAGGGUAUACGAGUAGCUGCGCUCCCCUGCUAGAACCUCCAAAACAAGCUCUCAAAGUAAAGAGCGUAUAACAGGGAUAAUUCCUUCCCUAAUCAAAUAUUUGAUUU